GAGGCAAGCCGGGUCCGCGCGGGGUGCAGCGCCACCUGCUGGAAUUCAUGCGAUGGAGCAGCAGCCUGAAGUGGCUGCGGAGUCCAGAAGUCCUGUCCUUGAGGUUUGCUUUCAGACAACGGCCAGUCCUGACUGCAAGAACAAAAACACUAGCAGAAAUAUGCACCCGUUACGCAAACCAGCCCUUAAGGCUGCACAUGAUCCUUUCCCCACUACAGAAUGUGAGGAAGGAGCUACAGCCACGCCAGUUGGACAACUAGCAGGAAGUGGAGAUUCUGAAUAAAUAACUUACAUGUGAAGCAGAGCUGGGUGCCAGCUUGUCAUGGCCUGGACUGUUGGCUCUCUCUGUGAUCCCACUGUGUCUGGAAUUGGUGGGUUCUUGGUCUCACUGACUUCAAGAAUGAAGCCGCGGGCCCUCACGCAUUCGACAUUGCUACACAAAUUGAGUCAUGCAGCCCAGCAGCCACCGAGUGCCUACUGAAUUUCCUGUCACCCAGAGCCUGAAUUUCCUGUCACUGGGCAUAACGUUUUAAAAAUAUUAUUGUUUUUUUAAACCCUGGCACUGAACCAGUUUUUAUUCUUCAUCUUGACUUAAUGCCUCUCCAUUCUCUUCUCUCAUCUUCUUCUCCUGGCUCCACUCACCUCCUCUGUAGCCAGGAGCCCACAGUUGGCUAUUUCGGCCGUGUGUCCAGAGUCUGGAAUCCCUCGUCCCCUUGGGCUUGCACUGUGGCCAG
rnacentral:lncRNA from 10 species